UCACCAGUGAGCAAGGGUGGGUGGGAAAAGAAAUAAGAUUGUGAGAAGGAAGCCAUAUUGAAUUGUGAGGAAUCUGUGACGUCGGAGGAUGCAUGCCGUAACAGUUGGCAUAGUCGCACGAACGCUCCACCCCUCGCUCGGCCAGAGACGGCUUGUGACGGACCAUCGGACCCCAGGAACAUCUGCGGAGUCUGGACAUUGCUUCAUAGCUAAGGCGAGUCCUUUGCCCCUGAUUUCCCGGGGACAACGACUUGCCCUUGCACACUAGUACUGAUCCAGAUUUCAUACUGGUUAGUUUGGAUUUGUAUUUUUGUUACUGAAGAAUACUGAUAAGGAAAAAAAUGUAGAAAUGGAAGCUUGUCAAAACAGCAAAUAAAAAAUGUACUAAAAUA